rnacentral:rRNA from 1 species
AUUGAACGCUGGCGGCAUGCCUUACACAUGCAAGUCGAACGGUAACAGGUCUUCGGAUGCUGACGAGUGGCGAACGGGUGAGUAAUACAUCGGAACGUGCCCGAUCGUGGGGGAUAACGGAGCGAAAGCUUUGCUAAUACCGCAUACGAUCUACGGAUGAAAGCAGGGGACCGCAAGGCCUUGCGCGGACGGAGCGGCCGAUGGCAGAUUAGGUAGUUGGUGGGAUAAAAGCUUACCAAGCCGACGAUCUGUAGCUGGUCUGAGAGGACGACCAGCCACACUGGGACUGAGACACGGCCCAGACUCCUACGGGAGGCAGCAGUGGGGAAUUUUGGACAAUGGGCGCAAGCCUGAUCCAGCCAUGCCGCGUGCAGGAUGAAGGCCUCGGUUGUAACUGCUUUGUACGGACGAAAGAACUACUGUUAAUACCUGGAGUCCAUGACGGUACCGUAAGAAUAAGCACCGGCUAACUACGUGCCAGCAGCCG